CGUUUACAGUUCCUCUCGUUUGACUCGGCACAAAACAAGCAAACUUAAAUUGUGACACAUGUUUUUAAAAAAAAAAAACGGCAAAGCAAGUUUUCAUGGAAAAGGUUUUACUGUAUGGCACAUUAUGUUCACCACAUUUCUAACCAGUAAAAAUAUAUUUUCUGUUUCAAAGCAGAGAUCCCUCUUCCAUCACAUCCUUUUUACAGAAGUCAUCAUUUCUGCUUUUAUCUGCCGAAUUAUUACUUCUUCAGAUUGUACUGGCUACCUAUAUUUAUUAGUAUAAUUCACUCAAACCAGCAAUAGAGUAAACUAAACAAAAUUGAAACGAUUUUGGUUUUGGAAUUAGUGAUUGUGGACAAAUCUACUAAGUUAAUGGCGUUGGGCAUUUGCUGAUAGUACUGUUAUUAUUCAGAAAGCAGAUGAUAUUUGUUUUUGGGUUUUUUUAAAACACUGCAAGUUUUUGUUUUUCUCUUUUUCUUUUGUCAUGCUAUCCACAAUCCUUACCGCUUGGUGGCGGUAGUGCAAACCUACCGUCUUUUUCCAAUCACCAAUGAAACUCAAGAAGAAGAAGAAGAAGAAGAAGCGGCUAAACUGUUUAGCGUGAGAAUUUUUGCAGUUUAAGACGGAAAAGGUACUGGACAUAAACUUGUAACAAAUCGUCGUGUCGACAGUUUUGCUGUUUAUCAGCCGACUUCCGAGCUGCAAUUGGUUCAAGUUUUGACUGAGAGCCACCGUACCGUUGUCCCCAUCGUGUCGCAUUGAGUCUUGUCCAACUUUUAGUCAGUGGUGUCACGGGUGUGUGUGUGAUCCAGAAUCCUCAGCUUGACAGAGUCCACUCCCCACCAACCAAAGCGACGAGAAUCCUCAAACGGCGAUGCUUCCCUGCGCCACGAUUUUGACAUCAGCAAAUGAUCUUGCCAUUCCCAGAAAAAAACCCGAAUGAUCUCAACCCCACGCAAACAUUUCCAUUUAUUGGAAUGGAAAAGUCUCACGCAAAGCCACUGCUGCACCUCUAAUGGACGUCUGGUCAGGGGUGGUCAUGAUUUAACCAAAAAAAAAAGCAUGCCAUUAAAAAUUUUCCUGGACUGGCCAUUGUUUGCUUCUAACAUCGGACUAAUCCAAAAAGAUCUCACAGCCCGUCUCUUCCUGUCAUAGAAUUUUUGCCAGCUGAGCUGACCAGAGUUGAGGAGAAGCGAGUGGAAAUGGAUAAACCACAAAAGCGCAAGGAAGAAAACAAGUACUAAAAAGCCUGCAAAAUGUGCCACACCUACCGAUGCGUUUCCGAUUGCUAGCAGGUGGACGACGGGAGAAAUGAGAAGAAUUAGAUAUGGAGGAGGAUUCAUUGCGGGAGAAGGACUAAGGAGAGAGACACGAGGCCAGAUCAGCUACUGAGGCAGAAGAUCACUUUUCGACGUUUCUUGGGAAACGAUAAAAUGCGACUACCUCGUCGAAGGAGAGGAGCGCCAGCAGCAACACGAUGCGGCUCA